GGGUCAGUAGGUUGGUCGUGCCACCGGUACGUACUGGUCUCACUGAUUCCUCCUUCCUGAAGAACCGUAAUGCCAUUAAUUUGGUGUUGCGGGGAAACAGGACUGUUACUUUGAAAAAAUUAGAGUGUUUAAAGCAAACUAACGCUUGAGUACAUUAGCAUGGAAUAAUGAAAUAGGACGAUCGAUCCUAUUUUGUUGGUUUCUAGGAUUGACGUA
rnacentral:rRNA from 1 species